UACGGAGGGUGCAAGCGUUAAUCGGAAUUACUGGGCGUAAAGCGCACGUAGGUGGCCAUUUAAGUCGGAUGUGAAAGCCCCGGGCUCAACCUGGGAAUUGCAUUCGAUACUGGAUGGCUAGAGUUCGAAAGAGGGAAGUGGAAUUCCAGGUGUAGCGGUGAAAUGCGUAGAUAUCUGGAGGAACAUCAGUGGCGAAGGCGACUUCCUGGUUCGAAACUGACACUGAGGUGCGAAAGCGUGGGGAGCAAACAGG
rnacentral:misc_RNA from 1 species